AAAAGUGGGCGUCGGCGCCGGCGCCAUUUUGCGAACGGCGAGCAGCGGCGGCGGCGCGGGAAGUGCAGCGGAGGUUUUUGCUGGUUUCGGACCCCAGCGGCCGGAUGGUGAAAUCCUCCCUGCAGCGGAUCCUCAACAGCCACUGCUUCGCCAGAGAGAAGGAAGGGGACAAACGCAGCGCCACGCUUCACGCCAGCCGCACCAUGCCGCUUCUUAGUCAGCACAGCCGCGGCGGCUGCAGCAGCGAGAGUUCUAGGGUUGCCCUUAAUUGCUGUAGUAACCUGGGUCCGGGGCCUCGGUGGUGCUCCUGAUGUCCCUCACCCACCCCUGAAGAUCCCAGGUGGGCGAGGGAACAGUCAGCGGGAUCACAGUCUUUCAGCUAGCAUCCUGUACUCCGACGAGCGGCUGAAUGUGACAGAGGAGCCGACGUCUAACGACAAGACCAGGGUCCUGAGCAUCCAGUCCACGCUCACGGAGGCCAAGCAGGUCACCUGGAGGGCGGUGUGGAGUGGUGGUGGCCUCUACAUCGAGCUCCCAGCUGGACCUCUGCCUGAGGGCAGUAAGGACAGUUUUGCAGCUCUCCUAGAGUUCGCAGAGGAGCAACUCCAGGCUGACCACGUUUUCAUCUGCUUCCCCAAGAACCGUGAGGACAGAGGUUGGUAUUGCUUGGGAGGGUCCUGGGGAGGGGAGUUCUGGCACCCCAACCUCUCACCCUAUGUUCUCCCACAGCCGCCCUACUCCGAACCUUCAGCUUUCUUGGCUUUGAGAUUGUGAGACCCGGGCAUCCCCUUGUCCCCAAGAGACCCGACGCUUGCUUCAUGGUCUACACUCUGGAGAGAGAGGACCCGGGUGAGGAGGACUAGGUGCCAGCCCUGCCCAGUGUCCCUGUGCCCUCUCCUGGGUUAGUCCACAUGUCGUGAUUGUGCAGAAUAAACGCUCACUCCAUUAGCGGGGUGCUUCUUCGAGCUGAAUGCUGUGUUUGUCACACUCAAGUGUUGGCUUUAAUUCUAAAUAAAGGUUUCUAUUUUACUUUUUUAUUGCUGUUUAAGAUGGUCAGGUGACCUAUGCUAUAGCAGUCUCCUUUGAAGUCUGGAAAAAUAGUGUCACCUCCCCUGGCUCAAAUCCAAUAAAGUGAUCUCGUUC
rnacentral:lncRNA from 1 species